rnacentral:lncRNA from 1 species
UUAGGGCGCCUGCCCAUUGAGCUCAGCCUCAGAAACUGAGACAGGAGGCUACUGCUCAGAGCAGGAAAAUAACCAGUUGGAUCAGUGGUGCCAAUAUUAUGUGACCAACUUUACAAGGACAUUUGGUGUACAUCUCAGAAGCUGACAGUGAGGGUUUCUGUUGCUGUGAAGAGACACCAUGACCAUGACACCUCUUAUAAAGGAAAACAUUUCAUUGGAGCUGCUUACAGUUUCGGAGGUUUAGUCCAUUAUCAUCAAGGUGGAACAUGGUGGGAUGCAGGCAGACAUGGUGCUGGAACUGAGAGUGCUACAUCUUGAUUGGCAGGUAACAGGAAGUGGGUGUGGCUUGAGCAUAUAUGAGUCCACAAAGCCCACCCCUACAGUGACACAUUUCCUCCAACAAGGCCAAACCUUCUAAUUGUGCUACUACAUUUGGAGGCCAUUUUCUUUCAAACCAGCACAUGUGGUAUGUGGAGUGCUUCAGUGGAGCAUUGUCUUUGUGGUUACAGAGGAAGCACGGGCUUGAGGAUAGAGAGAUGGGCGUUAGAGAAGGCUUCCAGUUUUAUGGUGAAAGACCCCCGGAGGCUCAGGCCCUCAGAAUCUCGGUCCAGGACCACCACGACCCCAAUCACCAGGUGGAGGCGAAAGCCUGAUGCAAACAGCAAGAGGCUUUAUUGCAGUUGUUUAACGAGCUAACCCCAUGUUAGCUUGGGCCUUUCAUCCAUCCACCAUGGAGGAUGUAAAGCAUAGCACCACCAGCUAACUUCUGAUUGGUUCCUUGCCACAAAGCAGGCAUCUGACCUCCUAGUGACCAAGGCAAGGUCAGGCUAGUACGUGCUAGGUUGCUAUGGCUGCCGAAAUGGGGAGCUGGUCCCUUCAUUGGGUCUGCAGUUAUUCAGAUUCACAUCUGAUCAUUAAUAAAUAUUAACAAAGACAAUGUUUUCAUACAAAUACUGGCCCCAGGUCUACACCUAGGACUUGGGAUUCAGGAUUUGGGAGCCCAGCCACCUCAGUCAGGGGUUUAUAAGGGCAAAGAAUACAAAGUUACAAUUUGUUCUCUUGCUAACAGA